UGACACUCGGCUGCCUAAGGAGUCUGCCUAGUUUAGAAACUUCAGGCCCAACAGGAAUUUGGAGCUCGGAUGCAGAAAAGAAUUUCAGGACUUUCCAGUUCAUGAAUCACAGAUUUCUGAGGAAUUUCCACACUGAUUUCCAUAGAGGCUGCACUAACUCAGGCUCUCAGCAACAGUGGGACAGCUCUGUCUCCAAGGAGAAUCUACUCAGUUACACAGUUCCAUGCCACCUUGCAGAGUUAUGUGACGGAAUAGAGUCUCAACCCCACACAACUUAAUCUUCUGUGCCUGUACUUUGGGUGCUCGUCUCGUGAUGUAUUUUUGGGAGAAACCCAGGGAACUUCUUUAGAAACAUGAACUACACUCAAGAGGCAGAGGCAAUGGCAUCACUUGAGCUCAUGAGUUUGACACAAGCUUGGACAACCUAAUGAGAUCAUCAUUUCAACAAGACAAAAAAACGAAUGUUUUAAAAGCUAAUUGAAAAGUUUAAAAUAUACAGGGCAGUUAUUUCCAAAGCAUUAAUAGUGUGCUUCCUAUAUGCAACUUUGUUUUAUGAACAAAAUCAUCAUAAAUUGUUAACAGAUGUAACUCUUGGAAUGGAAAUGUUCUUUGAUCUCUCAUGUUUGUCUAUAUAGAAAUCUUCAUAAAGGUCCCUUUUGGGUGAAGAAUAGCAAGCACGGUUAUGUACAGUCUUGCUUAUGGAGUUGUUCUUUAAUUCACACAAUGAAUUUACUCAAAUAGAUUGGGGAUGGUUCCUUUUCUGAUUCUCCGGGGUACUCUUCCCUACCAGCGGGAGACAUCUUCAUCAAACCCCGAGCUGUGUCUAGGGUGUUGUGUAAAGCCCCUUCACCUGGAAGAAUUUACCCGUUUGACUUCCGCAUUUGAACAACUGAACUUCCAGAUAACUCACAGGAAACAAUCCUGCAUUUCUGCUUGCAUAGACUAUUUCACUCACCAAGGGCUAGCUCUCUAAUUGCUCCCUGGAUUGUAUGAUUUAAAAAGACGUGGAAUAAAGUUCAGGCUUUGCCACUUGUUUUAGUGAAUGUUUAAAGACAAGAUGUUAUUGGUAGUGGAUAAUUGGUGGGGGAGGGAUAAUCAUCCUCUAUUGGUGAUAGGGCAACCACGAGGAUUCUCAUGCUCUGGUGGAUGGCCACACAUGCAUGCACAUAAGUGCAGCAUUAACUGAACUUAGUGGGUUUUAUUAAAAAAAAUACAUGAUAUUGGACGGGACACGUGAUGGUGGUAUGUGUGAGGAUUUGGAUGGGGAAAGAGGGUGCAUAAGAUCAUAUUUUGUUGUGUACAUGUAUGAAAUUCUCAAAAUGAAGAAAAUUAAAAAACAAACAGUGAGUUAAAAAUUAAAAAACAAACAAGCUACAUUAUCCAAUAAAUGACUCUAGUCCUCUCUGGGUUCUGUGAAUGAGCUAAAUGGGGCUGGGAACUCUAGUUUGGUUCUUAGAGCCACAUCAUGCAUGUGUAUGCACGCACACACACACACACACGCACACACACACACCCCUAAACACACAUAUCAAGCAAGAAAUAAUAAUCAAUAAUCUUGCAAUCUUGGUAGACAUGAUAACUUAUAUCUGUUAUUACAUGACUUAAAGGGUAAGAGAAGGGUCUUUGCUUCAAGGCCAGUCUGAACUACAUAGUGUGUUUGAGGCUACACUGCUCUGAAUAGAGAGAUUGCAUAUUAAAACAUCAAGAAAAAUAUGUAAAAAGAAAAAUAUUGGGCUGGUUUCAAAGGGUAAAUAACCUCUUGAUUGAGACCACACUUACAUACUUAAGGCACAAUUAAUUCUAUCUGUUGAUCUAUUGCUCUAUUUAAAUCCAAUUCCGGUUUACUCAAAAGUUACUCAAGAACAAAUAGUUUUUAUGCUAAGGAACGUUAGAAAAGUGGAGAAAUGUUUCAGCUUCGCAUUUGCUGGCCUUUCCUUAAGUGGCACUCACAUGUCUUCUAAAAUAAAUAAAAUAAAUCAUCUAACAUAUGCUCAAGUGAUGACAUUUUCAAUGAAUGGGGUCUUUGUGCCUAGUGAAAAAUCUAAAACUCUCCCUUGUGUGACUGUUACAAUGA